GACUGUAUUCUAGUCUGACUGGGCCUCUACUCUGGGACUCUAUUCUAGUCUGACUGGGCCUCUACUCUGGGACACUAUUAUAGUCUGACUGGGCCUCUACUCUGGGACUCUAUUAUAGUCUGACUGGGCCUCUACUCUGGGACUCUAUUCUAGUCUGACAGGGCCUCUAGUCUGGGACUCUAUUCUAGUCUGACUGGGCCUCUACUCUGGGACUCUAUUCUAGUCUGACAGGGCCUCUACUCUGGGACUCUAUUAUAGUCUGACUGGGCCUCUACUCUGGGACUCUAUUCUAGUCUGACAGGGCCUCUACUCUGGGACUAUAUUCUAGUCUGACUGGGCCUCUACUCUGGGACUAUAUUCUAGUCUGACAGGGCCUCUACUCUGGGACUAUAUUCUAGUCUGACAGGGCCUCUACUCUGGGACUCUAUUCUAGUCUGACUGGGCCUCUACUCUGGGACUCUAUUCUAGUCUGACAGGGCCUCUACUCUGGGACUCUAUUCUAGUCUGACAGGGCCUCUACUCUGGGACUAUAUUCUAGUCUGACUGGGCCUCUACUCUGGGACACUAUUCUAGUCUGACUGGGCCUCUACUCUGGGACUCUAUUCUAGUCUGACUGGGCCUCUACUCUGGGACUCUAUUCUAGUCUGACUGGGCCUCUACUCUGGGACUGUAUUCUAGUCUGACUGGGCCUCUACUCUGGGACUCUAUUCUAGUCUGACUGGGCCUCUACUCUGGGACUCUAUUCUAGUCUGACUGGGACUCUACUCUGGGACUCUAUUCUAGUCUGACUGGGCCUCUACUCUGGGACUAUAUUCUAGUCUGACAGAGGCUCUACUCUGGGACUCUAUUCUAGUCUGACAGGGCCUCUACUCUGGGACUCUAUUCUAGUCUGACAAGGCCUCUAGUCUGGGACUCUAUUCUAGUCUGACUGGGCCUCUACUCUGGGACUCUAUUCUAGUCUGACUGGGCCUCUACUCUGGGACUCUAUUCUAGUCUGACAGGGCCUCUACUCUGGGACUGUAUUCUAGUCUGACAGGGCCUCUACUCUGGGACUAUAUUCUAGUCUGACAGGGCCUCUACUCUGGGACUGUAUUCUAGUCUGACAGGGCCUCUACUCUGGGACUGUAUUCUAGUCUGACUGGGACUCUACUCUGGGACUCUAUUCUAGUCUGACUGGGCCUCCACUCUGGGAGGCAUGCAGGCAAACUUAAAUCAGUUUUACCUAAUUUCUACCAGCAUAUCACAUGUGCAUAGGAUGCGCUCCUAGUGACUGGUGAAUUUAACUUUAACUUAAAUGCUGUUUGACCUAAUUUAUAAUCAAAUCAAAUCAAAUCAAAAUGUAAUUUGUCACAUCUGCGGAAAACUACAGGUUACUUCACCUUACUGUGAAAUACUUACUUUACAAGCCCUUAACCAACAGUGCAGCUCAAGAAACAGAAUUAAAAAAUAUUUACAAAAUAAACUAAAGAACAAAAAAUACAAUUAAAAAAGUAAAACAAGAAAAUCACACAACAAUAACAAGGCAAUAUACAGGGGGUACCGGUACCAAGUCAAUGUGUGGGGUACCGGUACCAAGUCAAUGUGUGGGGUACCGGUACCAAGUCAAGGUGUGGGGUACCGGUACCAAGUCAAUGUGUGGGGUACAGGUUAGUCAAGGUGUGGGGUACCGGUACCAAGUCAAUGUGUGGGGUACAGGUUAGUCAAGGUGUGGGGUACCGGUACCAAGUCAAUGUGUGGGGUACAGGUUAGUCAAGGUGUGGGGUACAGGUUAGUCAAGGUGUGGGGUACCGGUACCAAGUCAAUGUGUGGGGUACAGGUUAGUCAAUGUGUGGGGUACAGGUUAGUCAAUGUGUGGGGUACAGGUUAGUCAAUGUGUGGGGUACAGGUUAG